rnacentral:rRNA from 1 species
CCUACGGGAGGCAGCAGUUUCGAAUCAUUCACAAUGGGCGAAAGCCUGAUGGUGCGACGCCGCGUGAGGGAUGAAGGCCUUCGGGUUGUAAACCUCUGUCACUGGGGAAGAAACGCUUCAAGUUAAUAGCUUGAAGCCUGACUUAACCCAGAGAGGAAGCAGUGGCUAACUCUGUGCCAGCAGCCGCGGUAAUACAGAGACUGCAAGCGUUAUUGGGGCGCAGUGGGCGUAGUGGGUGCGGUGUGAACCCCCGGGGCUUAACCUCGGAAUUGCGCCUAAAACUACACGGCUAGAGCAGUGGAGAGGGUAGCGGAAUUCACGGUGUAGCAGUGAAAUGCGUAGAUAUCGUGAGGAACACCAGAGGCGAAGGCGGCUACCUGGACAAUUGCUGACGCUCAGGCACGAAAGCGUGGGGAGCAAAAGGGAUUAGAUACCCCGGUAGUC